UAUGUGAUCGUCUCUCGCAUAUCAAUAAGCGGAGGAAAAGAAACUAACAAGGAUUCCCCUAGUAACGGCGAGUGAAGCGGGAAGAGCUCAAAUUUGAAAUCUUAAAGGGUUUCCCUUUACGAAUUGUAGUUUAAAGAAGUGUUUUCUGUUGAGGUUUUGGUAAAAGUUCUUUGGAAUAGGACAUCAUAGAGGGUGAGAAUCCCGUAUUUGACCUUUACUUUCAACUUUGUGAUACACUUUCAAAGAGUCGGAUUGUUUGGGAAUGCAGUCCAAAAUGGGUGGUAAAUUUCAUCUAAAGCUAAAUAUUGGCGAGAGACCGAUAGCGAACAAGUACCGUGAGGGAAAGAUGAAAAGAACUUUGAAAAGAGAGUUAAACAGUACGUGAAAUUGUCAAAAGGGAAGCGUUUGACACCAGUGUUGUUUUUCUGAAAAUCAAUUAAAGAACUGUUUAUGCUAAGCUGUUUAGACUUUAUCAGCUAAUCUGUUUAGUUUUGAGCUUUUCUUUAAUGCACUUUUCAGUUAACAAGUCAACAUCAAUUUCUUUUGCUGUAAAAAAGCUUGAGGAAGGUGGCUUGAGAUUCGUCUUAAGUGUUUAUAGCCUCUUGCCUAUGCAGUCGGAGAGAUUGAGGUCUGCAGCGUAGAUCCUUCGGGGCUAAAUGCAUUUGUGCUAAGUUAUAGCAUUUUAUAGACAACUUGUUGACUAUGAUUUGUCUUGUAGCUUACUCGCUUAUGUUAUUUUACCUACGCUUAGGAUGUUGACACACGCGCGUGCUCG
rnacentral:rRNA from 1 species